rnacentral:lncRNA from 1 species
GAUCCUGCUGCCCUUCCGCAAGCCACUGAUCAUCUUCACUCCCAAGUCCCUGCUGAGGCACCCGGAGGCCAAGUCCAGCUUUGAUCAGAUGGUGUCUGGUACGUUGGCCGAGAGCCUGCUGCCGCACCAGCCACAGGCAACAGAAAUGCUCACCUGGUGUCGCUGAGGAAGUUUCUGGACACUGCCUUUGAUCUCCGGGCCUUCGAGGGUAAGAUGUUUUAGAGUGGGCAAGGCUGGCCUGGAUCUUGAGCUGGGGCCUCAGGAGGCUGGGAGGGUGAGCUGCUGGGCCCCAGGACGCGUUGCCUAUCAGGCUGGCUUUGGCCUGCAUGUCUGUGUCACUGUGGGAUUGAGACAUCGGAUGGGAGUGCAGUUCCUGUGUACCCUAGCACCUGGCCCCUCCUAGACGUGUGUCUUCUGCAUCUAUGGGGUUCGUGGCCACCCAGAGCCCUGUCGUUACCCCCCCCAGUCCUGUCCAGCCUGACUGCUGCUCGCCCCAUCAUGUGCACGUGUAGAUCCAGAGGGAAGCCAUCCUGAGCUCUUAGAAGUAGGGCUUUUAGAAGCGAC